rnacentral:snRNA from 1 species
AGCCGUGUGGUGAGCACAGAGCGAACUAUUCUUUCGCCUUUUACUAAAGAAUACCGUGUGCUCGCCACUUUUAGCGGCAUACGCCAAUUUUUGGGAGGGUAUUCCUUUGUGAAUGCC